rnacentral:rRNA from 1 species
GUGGGGAAUCUUGCGCAAUGGGCGAAAGUCUGACGCAGCCAUGCCGCGUGAAUGAUGAAGGUCUUAGGAUUGUAAAAUUCUUUCACCGGGGACGAUAAUGACGGUACCCGGAGAAGAAGCCCCUGCUAACUUCGUGCCAGCAGCCGCGGUAAUACGAAGGGGGCUAGCGUUGCUCGGAAUUACUGGGCGUAAAGGGCGCGUAGGCGGACAGCUUAGUCAGAGGUGAAAGCCCAGGGCUCAACCUUGGAAUUGCCUUUGAUACUGGCUGUGUUGAGUUUGGGAGAGGUGAGUGGAAAUCCGAGUGUAGAGGUGAAAUUCGUAGAUAUUCGGAAGAACACCAGUGGCGAAGGCGACUCACUGGCCCAAUACUGACGCUGAGGCGCGAAAGCGUGGGGAGCAAACAGGAUUAGAUACCCUGGUAGUCC